rnacentral:lncRNA from 1 species
GGAGAUUGCUCUGUAGUGGAACACGACGCCUUUCACCAGGACCUCUAUGGUGUCUUGUCUGUCCUCAAUCCCAUACAUCACUUCACAGCGAUAAAUCCCAGUGUGGUUGGAUCUCAGCGCCUUGAUUUCCAAGGUGGCAUCAGUGGGGAUGGCAGGGUAAUUGGGCAAGGAGAUCACCUCUCUGUACUCUGCAUUGAGCCGGAUCUUCCCACCGGUGGCCACUAGUAAGACAAUCUCUGUUCCAUUGGAAAGCUUGCUCCAUUUGAUCCGGGGGGUCAGCAGAGCAUUGGUGUCCUCUUCCUCUGGGAUGUUGAAAUAGCAGGGGAUGUUCAGGGAGCUUCCCAGGACAACACGCAGGGGAGACUGCUCAGGUAUCUUCACUUCCAGGCCAUCGCUACUGUCUGAGAGCUCUGCGGAGGCAGCUGUGGUGAUGGCUUGCAAACACACAAACACUAGUAGUAGAGUGGUCAUAGUUUACCUUUAACAGUUCAGUGCAGUGCUCGGAGAAUCUAAGUCCCAUACACCUGGCAGAGAAAGUAGGUGUUUUUCGGUGCUCAAGACGGAAAGAGCUUGCCACUUCUUGCUGUUGCUGUAUGUCUUCUUUGCUAUCUCCAGAGGACUUUUCCUGCCUUUUUUUUUUUUUUUUUCCCAGUUCCCCAGAAGAAAUCACAAUUCCCUGUGUGGUAUUUCAGGUCCUUUCAGGCAGUGGCAGCAGCAGCAGGCUUGAAGAGUAAGUGCUGUGUGUGAAUGGCAAAAAAGAGAGAGAGGGUUUCAGACCACAUUAGCUGCCACUGGCUGCAAGAGAGACCAUCAAACUCCUGUCAGCCUCCUUAGAUACCUCUUGAAGAGCUGGCACACUAAGUGUAUUGGAUCCUCCUCUGGAUUUUAGAGUAAAGGUAGGCAGGCAUCCAGGGGGCAGGGGGAAAUAGGAG